rnacentral:rRNA from 1 species
AUUGAACGCUGGCGGAAUGCUUUACACAUGCAAGUCGAACGGCAGCACGAGAGCUUGCUCUUGGUGGCGAGUGGCGAACGGGUGAGUAAUAUAUCGGAACGUGCCCAGUCGUGGGGGAUAACGUAGCGAAAGCUGUGCUAAUACCGCAUACGAUCUGCGGAUGAAAGCGGGGGACCUUAGGGCCUCGCGCGAAUUGGAGCGGCCGAUGUCAGAUUAGGUAGUUGGUGGGGUAAAGGCCCACCAAGCCAACGAUCUGUAGCUGGUCUGAGAGGACGACCAGCACACUGGGACUGAGACAACGGCCCAGA